rnacentral:rRNA from 1 species
GACGAACGCUGGCGGCGUGCUUAACACAUGCAAGUCGAACGCUGAAGCUUGGUGCCUGCACUGGGUGGAUGAGUGGCGAACGGGUGAGUAAUACGUGAGUAACCUGCCCUUGACUCUGGGAUAAGCCUGGGAAACUGGGUCUAAUACUGGAUACGACAUGUCACCGCAUGGUGGUGUGUGGAAAGGGUUUUACUGGUUUUGGAUGGGCUCACGGCCUAUCAGCUUGUUGGUGGGGUAAUGGCUCACCAAGGCGACGACGGGUAGCCGGCCUGAGAGGGUGACCGGCCACACUGGGACUGAGACACGGCCCAGACUCCUACGGGAGGCAGCAGUGGGGAAUAUUGCACAAUGGGCGAAAGCCUGAUGCAGCGACGCCGCGUGAGGGAUGACGGCCUUCGGGUUGUAAACCUCUUUCAGCACGGAAGAAGCGAAAGGGACGGUACGUGCAGAAGAAGCGCCGGCUAACUACGU